UCUCCCUCUCUCUUCCUCGCUGAAAUCACUCAAAAGAAAAAAAGCAGCACCCACCUCACCUGGCCUAAGGGGUGCCUGCCCGGAAGCUUCUGUAGCCCUGACAGGUUUCCCUGACCUUGUCAGGCAGGAAGGGAGGGAGAGAGGAGCCAGGAGGACCAACAGCCAGAAGGGCGGGCGCUUGGGUUUCCUCCCCUCCCGCUCCCUCCCACCUCACCCACCCCGUGACCCCCAGGGUGAGCCAGGCACCACUGUCAUUGGUGGGCUUCCAGCUGUAACCCAUUUUCAGUCUCAGCCUCUUUCCGGGAUUUGACUUGCUGUUCUUUCCAAAGCCCCGGCUCUCCAAGUGAUGCCAGCCCAGGGAGGGGGCGCCUGAAUCUCGUCUUGUGGGCAGAGGUAGCACACCAGCCGGGUGAACAGAGCCCAUCGGGUCUGUCCGGAGCUGCUCGUCCCCACAGCCUCCAGCGACCACCUCACCCCAGCCUCUGGGACCCUGGCUCGUCGUCCAGAUCGACUCCUGGCAGCCCUUCAGCAGGAAGAGCCUUCGCUCCCUCCCUUAGCGAUCGGAACGGGGGCAGAGGGUUCAGUGUACGGCACCGAAACUGUGGUCUUGUGUGUACUUCCCCGCUCAGGACACAGACGCCAAAAACGUUGGAGAUGAAAGUGUGCUGGACUGGGAACAUCUGCCAUAAGUGGUUUGGCAUAACAUCUGCGUCCCUUGGUAGCGUUUAUCACUUCACUGAGCAGCUAACCUUCUCGAGCCAUCCUUGAGCCACAUCCUGGGGGACACUGUGUUAGGAACCCUUGGGUCCACCCCUGGCUCUGCCAGGUCUGAGUUCUGCUCUUUGGGGCCACCUGCUUCCCUGUCUGGGCCUUGGUUUCUUUGCCUGUAAAAUAGAGAUCGGUAUACCUACGUCUCAGAGCUCUUUUAGGACCAGAGGAAGUGACUCCUAAUGGGCACACGGUAAAGAGUAGCUUAACAUAUUUUAGAUUUUGGGGGGAGGGGGGUUAAUCCUCACCAGAGGAUUUUUCACUGAUUUUUAAAGACAGUGGAAGAGAGGG